AUAUGCCUUUUGGUGGGGGACAACAGUUGGAAACGACUGCUAAUACCGCAUGAUGUCUACGGACCAAAGUGGGGGACCUUCGGGCCUCACGCCAAAAGAUUAGCCCAGGUGGGAUUAGCUAGUUGGUAAGGUAAUGGCUUACCAAGGCAACGAUCCCUAGCUGGUUUGAGAGGAUGAUCAGCCACACUGGGACUGAGACACGGCCCAGACUCCUACGGGAGGCAGCAGUGGGGAAUAUUGCACAAUGGGCGCAAGCCUGAUGCAGCCAUGCCGCGUGUGUGAAGAAGGCCUUCGGGUUGUAAAGCACUUUCAGUAAGGAGGAAAGGUUAAGUUUUAAUAGAGCUUAGCUGUGACGUUACUUACAGAAGAAGCACCGGCUAACUCCGUGCCAGCAGCCGCGGUAAUACGGAGGGUGCGAGCGUUAAUCGGAAUUACUGGGCGUAAAGCGUACGCAGGCGGUUUGUUAAGCGAGAUGUGAAAGCCCCGGGCUCAACCUGGGAACUGCAUUUCGAACUGGCAAACUAGAGUGUGAUAGAGGGUGGUAGAAUUUCAGGUGUAGCGGUGAAAUGCGUAGAGAUCUGAAGGAAUACCGAUGGCGAAGGCAGCCACCUGGGUCAACACUGACGCUCAUGUACGAAAGCGUGGGGAGCAAACAG
rnacentral:rRNA from 1 species